rnacentral:rRNA from 1 species
AGCGAACGCUGGCGGCAGGCUUAACACAUGCAAGUCGAACGGUCCUUCGGGAUAGUGGCAGACGGGUGAGUAACACGUGGGAACGUACCUUUCGGUUCGGAAUAAUACAGGGAAACUUGUACUAAUACCGGAUACGCCCUUUGGGGGAAAGAUUUAUCUCCGAUUGAUCGGCCCGCGUCUGAUUAGCUUGUUGGUGAGGUAAUGGCUCACCAAGGCGACGAUCAGUAGCUGGUCUGAGAGGAUGAUCAGCCACACUGGGACUGAGACACGGCCCAGACUCCUACGGGAGGCAGCAGUGGGGAAUAUUGGACAAUGGGCGCAAGCCUGAUCCAGCCAUGCCGCGUGAGUGAUGAAGGCCUUAGGGUUGUAAAGCUCUUUUGUCCGGGAAGAUAAUGACUGUACCGGAAGAAUAAGCCCCGGCUAACUUCGUGCCAGCAGCCGCCGUAA